rnacentral:rRNA from 1 species
UACAGAGGUCCCGAGCGUUGUUCGGAUUCAUUGGGCGUAAAGGGUGCGUAGGCGGCGGGGCAAGUCUGAUGUGAAAUCCCGGGGCUCAACCCCGGAACUGCAUUGGAUACUGCCUUGCUCGAGUACUGGAGAGGGAACUGGAAUUUACGGUGUAGCAGUGAAAUGCGUAGAGAUCGUAAGGAAGGCCAGUGGCGAAGGCGAGUUCCUGGACAGUUACUGACGCUGAGGAGCGAAAG